UAUGCGUACACAGGAAAAGCGCUUUUCACUUCCAUUAAUAUUGCUGAACUUUCUUUCUUUCGUGAACUGUCUUCCUUGUGUUUUUUUUCCUCAUGAAUGCAAUAGAAGCAGGCCUGUAAUUUUCAAUUUCGGCGACUCCAACUCAGAUACCGGUGGGUUCGUGGCCGUGGUGAGGAUGGAGUACGGCUAGCUAUCCCUACGUCGCGCCUUCUCCGGCUGCCGACGGGUCGAACGAGCGGUUGGCGUCUUGUCAUCGACUUUCUCUGUGAAUAUCAUCGAUACCCAUUACUUGAGUCCGUAUUUGAAUGCGUUGGAGUAGGCCCAUCAAUCUACGGGAACAGAGAUUUUUCACAAAAAAUCCUAUACUCAAUAAGAGAAUAUGAGAAGCCAAUACAUGAGGAGGAGCAUUUGGAUCACCCUGGUUUAAGAUAUAACUGGAGGAGGCUGAAAGCUAGGAGAUGCUUCCUUUUCUUCAUAUUUUGUCUCUAUUAUGACUGGUCGUAUAUUAUUUAUAGCUUUAAUAAUCAUUUCAAUUUUAUUAUGAAUUGAUUGAAUUUGUUCUCCUAAAAUAUUGAGAAAUAAAUUUGUAUAAUUUUGUUGCUCAAACAUAUUAUUUAUAUGUUUACAAUUUAUUGUAAGAGUGUUUGUUUCUAUUAAUUUAGAAAAGGCCGAAAAAUUAUGAAUUUUUUCAUUCUUUUCAGUAUGAAAAGCCUGUUGUGGAGGGUAAAGACCUUGAUAAACUUUUUCUGAUUCUAGUUUAUAAUUCCUUUCUAUAACAGAAAUAUAGUUUUUGACAUACGUAUCAAUAAACCAUGACACAAAAGGAAUUAAAGCAUUUUUUUCUUUGCAAAUCUUAUAAAAUUCAUCUUGAAAAUAUAACAUUUCUUGCUUAUCAAAGCUUUGGAAAAACCAUUCUCUGAAUUGGCUAUAACCGACGUCUUUAAAUUCUUCUGAAAUAAUUUUUCUGGCUGGAGAGCUAGGACUAAAAUCUAUAAUAGAACUAUAAUUCAUUAAAUAUUAAACUCCAUUUCUGACAUAGUCGGUUUUAACUCAUUAU